UUGAACGCUGGCGGCAUGCCUUACACAUGCAAGUCGAACGGCAGCACGGGUGCUUGCACCUGGUGGCGAGUGGCGAACGGGUGAGUAAUACAUCGGAACAUGUCCUGUAGUGGGGGAUAGCCCGGCGAAAGCCGGACUAAUACCGCAUACGAUCUACGGAUGAAAGCGGGGGACCUUCGGGCCUCGCGCUAUAGGGUUGGCCGAUGGCUGAUUAGCUAGUUGGUGGGGUAAAGGCCUACCAAGGCGACGAUCAGUAGCUGGUCUGAGAGGACGACCAGCCACACUGGGACUGAGACACGGCCCAGACUCCUACGGGAGGCAGCAGUGGGGAAUUUUGGACAAUGGGCGAAAGCCUGAUCCAGCAAUGCCGCGUGUGUGAAGAAGGCCUUCGGGUUGUAAAGCACUUUUGUCCGGAAAGAAAUCCUUGGCCCUAAUACGGUCGGGGGAUGACGGUACCGGAAGAAUAAGCACCGGCUAACUACGUG
rnacentral:rRNA from 1 species